UAUAAACCAACUGCGAACUCAGAGAAAAAUCACAAGACCAUCUUCAAAUAACUCCACUGUAUGAAAUGGGAUAAGUACAAUUCUUCUCUAGUCACUACUAGAGACAUGAAUUACAAGAUCAAAGAUACUGAUCCAAAUAAAAAAUAUAUAUAUAUAUAGAAUUGAGCUCCUAUGCUUUUAAAAGUACUAAGUUAUUAGUGCUUGUAGAUUUUUAGCCAUUGGAUUAAGAGAUAUGCGGUUAGGAUGAUGUAGGUCCCCUAGGGUUGAGUGGGUGGUUGGUUGAAUAGUAUAAUCUAAUGGUUGAAAAUGAUCCAAGGAGUAGAUCUAACGGUAAAAAACUUACAAGCACCAAGUGCUUGAUGCUUUUACAAGCACCAUAGCUGGACUAUAUAUAUAUAUAUAUAGGCUGGUAUACUAUCGGUACUACCAAGUUGUUUUCAAUGAUGCGGUUUUCAAAUCGACGAUCAGCUCCGUUAGACUUGAUCUAUGCUAUUGAAAGUAUUUGAAAACUAAAUUUCAGAAGUAUAUCGAUAGUAUACCAGUCUAGCUCUAUAUAUAUANUAAAUUUUAAAUUUUAAAUUUGAAAAGUUGAGAUUUAAAAAUUCAAAUAUGAAUUUAAAAUUUCAAAAUUUAAAUUUAAUGUUAAAUUUAUACUUUGAAUCUAAAACAAAAAUAAAAGUUAGAAGUUUGAGUUCAUAAUCAGAAUCAGUUUUGGAGAAACAGCUCUGUUUUCUGAUUCUUGAGCCUUCAAAAUCAGUUUUCUGAUUCUAAAAAGCAGAAUCAGAUUUUCAAAAUGUCAUUCCCAAACACUCUACUGAGCUCAAAAGUGAUUUUGGGCUCAGAAUCACUUUUGAAUAGCUAGGCCAAACACCCCCUUAUUCCAUUAAUUAUUUCUACCCGUUAGAUUAUAUUAUUCAACCAACUACCCACUCAAACCUAGGGGACCACUAUCAUUCUAAGUGGAGACNAUAUAUAUAUAUAUAUAUAUAAAACGUAUAUGUGUGUGUGUGUGUGUGUUGUUUAUGUGAGUCGAAGAGAGGAUGGGUUUCGUCGCAAAUCUGUGACCAAUUAAUGUGAAACAAAAUUAUGGUUUCGAUAAUUCGGCAGUGCCAAAAGGAUGGCGCAGUCCGUUCGCAAAUCUGACGAACGAAUCUCUUGAUAUUCCGCGAUUACCGAGAAGGGGUUGAAAUUGGUGAAACGGAGUUUU
rnacentral:lncRNA from 1 species